UCUCAUACUAAACAAAAACCUAACGUGCUUGGGGAGCAAAAGCAAGUUCUGGCACUCUCAGGGCACCCAUUAUUGCGUCAAUACCCAUUAUUGCUGUGGGAAGGGAAGUAGAAACAAACUUCUUUUCUUGGGGAAAUGGCAGGGAAGAGUUUUACACAGGGUUCUAUAUUAACAGUGUUGGAGGUCUCAGCACCAUAGGAGAAGAUGGAAAAUCUCUCCCACACAAGACUCACCACAGGUAUAAUGCAGAAAUCGGCCAUCAUCGGGAGGAGGCGUAGGAAUGAUGAGAAACCCCACCUAUGAAGCCCAGGCAUACGGGACCUAAGACACACUGGACCAGGACAGAAGAGGACUGCCUCUGUCCUCUGUCCAUCAGCCAGCAAACAGAAUCUGAAAACCAUGAAGGUUAAGUAACUUCACCAACGUGCCACACCUGCUGAGUAGUGAGUUACUCUUCAAACUCGUGAUGUCCGGCUCCAAAGCCUCAGUUUCUUCCAUUAAACCAUCGUAUUAGGAGGUGUGAAAAUGAGACAGCUACAAGUAUGUUUAAAAUUACAAGUAAUAAUAUUACAUUUGCAACAAGAGCGUUCAACAGAACAGGAGUUUAUGCCCUGGAAGAAGUUCAGUCUUAAGGUCCAUUUUCACUUACUCAAAUUAGAUGGAUUGGAGCAUUACACACAUUACAAGAAAAUAUAUUGUAAAAAUCUACUCACACAAAUACUAAGCAAAAAAGAUAAGGAACUUGUUAAUCAUGUGGAUUGCAGGGUUUCAUGAAAUCUAAUAAAGUGAUUUUGGAUAACUAAUACAACCAAUGCAAAGCAAUCUACAAGUGAAGACACAAGCAGAGUGAGCGUGGUUAAUGACUGAAGAAGAGAAAUGGAAAAGAAAAGAAAAAAAGAUCUUUCAAGAGAGAAUAAUUUUGAAUAUCAAACAAUGAAGAGCUUUUCAGAAUUUUGAUGAAGAAAAUCCUUGAAAAUUCUUGCAAAAAUGAUACCCCUCCCUUUUAGACUGUUCAUUCAAAAUAUAGUGCUAUCAUUUAAUUUUGCCCAAAAAAUUACCCCCAAGUUAAUACAAUUCAUUCUUUUUAAUUCUAAAAAUUAGCUUAUACUUAUAAUUACAACCAAAAAUACGACAGUUAAAUAACGCUUUUUUAUAAUUUUUCGCUGUAUAUUUCAAAUCAGCCAGUUGGACCAAUCAAGUAUUGUCAAUGUUCAUUAUAAAGUUUUCACCCCACCUUUGGAAACCUCUCUAAAGGUGACUUUUUCUGUACCAAGUGUCCUUCAACAAAGAGGAACCUCCUGGAUCUCAGUGAUUAUGAGGGACACGACCUGGCAAAGGCCUUGUGACUGUUCUGAGAUUCAGUUAUACACUUAUAAAAUCACUGUGUUCUGUUUAAUUAUACUCAUGAAGAAAUACGAACUAUAAAUAUAACUAUAAAAAUAAAUAUAAACUAUAAAUUCCCUAUAAGCUCUAAGAUUGUUAUUGCACAUUUCAAUUUCUUAUAAUGAGUAUCUUAGAUCACUUUCAGGAAACAAGAAAUGUGUCAUUUUGGAAACUUUUGCUUUGUUAAUAUAUUUUUUAAUGCUUUAAGGUUUAAAAAUCAGCUAUCUGAAAAAAACCUCUUGUCUCAUUCCCUCACUAUGUCAGAUGCAUGAUAUGAAGAUUUUUCCAAUUAAAAAAUCCCAAAACACGUUUUCACAUUGUGGAAAACUUGGAAAAUGACAAAUAGGCAAAAUGGAGGAAAAAACUCAUUAUCUUUAUACCCUAAAACAAAGAUGUUUAAGAUUUUAUCACUAUUCCUCUAAUCUUCCAUGUGUAAAUUAUAUCUGAGACACGUUCCCAAGACAUUGACAGCCUUUUAUAAUCAUUUAAUCACAGAUGCAUGUAACAUUCUUUACUAAAUAUUCUUCCCCUUAGAUAUUUAAGUGGUAUAAAUAGACUAUUAUAAAACAAAAUUGUGUUCCUGUUGUCAUUGUUUUUUACGUAACUCUGCGAACUUUAGAUUAUUCUCCAAGGACAAAUUUGUGGAAAUGAAAUUGUCAGAUGAAAGACUGAGCAUUUUAAAAGUUUGUGUUUUGAAUUGCCAAAAUAUUAAAGAAACCAAUAAACCUAGGAAAAUACCUAACAGAAAUGUGUAGGACUAAUAUAAAGAAAACUUUAAAACACCAUUAAGGAAUACAACAGGAAUCCUAAAUAAAUAGAAACAUAUAACUUGUUCUUGAAUUAAAAAGAAUCAAAAUUCUAGGCUUGCAUUUAAACCUUGAAGAUCAAACACAUGUGUUUAUCUCUGAACUGUGCCAAAAUUCUACUGAAAUUACAGCAAUGGAAUUAAUUGCACAUAGGGCCUGAAAGGCAAAGAAACCGGAAGAGUUGACAAAAGUGACUUUGUGGAAUAUAGAAAGUGAGUGUCAGAGUUUUGCUGCUCUGAAGAGCAUGUGUGAGUGUGGGAGGGAGAUAUAUUGGGGACUGGGGGAUAGUUAAAAGCAGGCUUCUGAAGGCCAAAGUACAUGGCAGGGCUACAAGUGAGGGUGUGUUUGGUGUCUAUGGAAGCGUUAGACCCUGAGAUCUCUUUCAUCUGCCCAAGUAGCCAGGUCUCUGGUCCUGCCUAAAUCUUAUAGGAGGCAGGAAGCUUUCACUCUGAAGAAGUUUAUCCUGGAGACUUUGUACUCAGUAAAAUCAGAAACUGGUUAGGAAGAGAAGAGACACUUUUCCACAAGUAAGGGAUUAUCCUCCAGUCUAGACAUGUUGAUAGCUAAACUUAAAUUCAUGAGGCAGAAGAAUUUAGAUUCAUCUUGUGGGAAAUGGACUAUAAAAGGGAGCAGCAAAAACACCAGUCAACAAGACCUCUAUACUGUAGCCCAGCACAAACACCAUGAUUCUAAUAACAGUUUUAAUGUGCUGCUAUUAAAUAUGAAUGCACAGCCAAAGAUCAUCAGAUAUCUGAUAAAAUCCUUUAACAUGAAAAAAAAAAGUAAUAAUCAGAAUGAAAGAAGUCAGAGGAAAGAGAAAACUCAACGAGCAGAAGGAACUUCGGGGAAAGUCCCAUAUAUAAUAUUAUAGGCAAGAGAAGCUACUGUAUUAUGCGACAAAACAAAAUACUAUUGAGAAAAAAAAAGAAUGUUAAAGCAAUGUACAAGAAGAAAGUGUUCCUAGAGUCAAGGAUAUGAAAUUCUAACUUAAAGUCAAUAGCUUGGUGUUUACAUUUGAGGAAAUCUAACAGGAAAAAAAAUUAGAAAAGAGAAUGAAAUUAGAGAGUCAUUGACAAAUUUAUCAUCAGAUUUGUACAGCUCCCAGAAAAGAAUACAGAAAAAAUAGGAGGAAGGAAAUUAUCAAAAAAAAUAUGUAAGAAAAAUUUUUGGAGAAACAUGAGUUUGUUUCAUGAAGUCUCUAGUAUAAUGCAUGAGGAAAGACCCAUAGCUUUACAUUACUGUGAAAUUAAAAUACCAUAAAUAAAGAGACAAUCCUAAAAGUUUAUAUAAUGGAAAGACUGAGGGCUAUAUAAAAAUUCAGAAUUCAGUGUAGAUUCCAUAACAAAAACAUUAUUUAUCAGAAAAAAAUAUUUCAAUCUAGAAUUUUAAAUCCGACCACGUAUAAGGUUAGAAUCAAGACAUUUCCGGCACACAAAUUAAAGCAAUUGAUUUAUCAUAAGCACUUUCUCAGUAAUCUUCCAUAAAGUAUUUGUUCCUAAAAUAAUAUAGUAAUCCUAGAAGGAAGUCAUGAGAUCCCAGAAACAGGAGCUCAAAUAUUAGAAAAAGGUGGAGGAAAUUCCCGGGACGAUAUUGGAGGGAAGUCUCAGAAUGCUAGCCACACUUAGUAUCUAAGAUCUAGAAGUUCUAAGGGGUCACAAGGAUGGGGCUCCUCAUGGGAUGGUGAAAAGAGGACACAAACAAUCAGAGGAACUGAUAGACUACUUGAUUUGUAUGGAUUGCACAGGGAGAUUUAUAUUUGGGAGAUUAUGUUAAACCAAAAAUUUGGCCCUGGAAUAGAAAUAAGUAGACAGAAAAACAAGUGAAUGCUAAUAAAAGAAGCAAUUAGUAACUCCAGAGAAAACAAACAUUUUUAUAAGAAAUGUGAUCUUAGUAUGUUGGCAGUUGUGUGGAAAAGGGAUGUUGCCAAACAUUUUUUGGAGGAAAAAUAAAUUAGCACAGCAUUUUUGAAAAACAAUUCAUUCAGUAAUCAUCAUGAUAUAAAACAUGAAUAGGCUUUGUCUUAGCAGUUCCUCUUCUAAGGAAAAUAACACACAGAAAUAUUCUCCAGAAAGUUCUUGAGUAUAUGCACAAAGACUUUGAUGGUAACAAAUUAAUAAUAGGGGAGAGAGAGAGAAUUAAACGUAUAUUGGUAGUAUUAUGGAAUACUAUAUACCUAUUAGAAAAAGAGAAAGUUUGAU
rnacentral:lncRNA from 1 species